rnacentral:misc_RNA from 1 species
CAGCGAGAGCGCACGCACGUGUACGGACAUCAGCAGAUACAGACGCUUCUGUAUCCACGUCACUCUCGUGACGUCGUCUAAACGCUUCUUGAUGUGCACCGGGAUUUCGUCCCUCUUGCCCUUCACUCACUCCGUGCGGAGAUGCCAGCAUAGACAAGACGCCACACUUGGAAGCAGAUAUUUUUAUCAACACAGGUAUGGCUGUUUUGUAUUCCUCUUCGCUUGAAGUCUCAUCCGGUUCACACUGGCACUUCACCCCCCCCCUGCACGCCCACACACACUUCUUCAAUCCCAGUAAAGGGCGCACAGAUUUGUUCUUGCGCUACACAGAGUCGGUGCGGUUGCGCACCGCUCCCGUUGCGUGCACCCCUUUCCGCUGGCAUCACCACAACUGCAUAAAGAAAGCCCGAGGGCCGACAAGGUGCCGACCAUCGGCGCAUGCAAGAUAUACAUCGGCAUUCGGAGCUCCCCACUGCUCCCUCAGCCUGCCUUUUUCUCCCUCCCUCACUCGCUCGACGGCAUCGACUCGCUGGUGAUCGUGCUUUCGUGCGUUUUUAUUUUUGCUCCUCUUGUUUUGUUGGUUCACGCAUUGCCCCCCCCCCUCUCCUCCCCCACUUUCGUUUUGGUUUUCUGCUGCCUGCUCGCCGUUCUUAUCCUUGUCACUUUUUCCCUUCGAUAUUACAUUAUCUCUCCUCCUCGUCCUCCUUCUCCGUGUUUGCAUCGUCUCUCCAGCACCGCUGCGGUUGGGAAAGCGUGUACACCCCACCACCCCUACCACCAUCUCACCCCGAAGCACGCAAACUGGAGGCACGCGCACAUCCGCUUCCUCUGCGGCUUUUGCUUUUCUUUGCUUCCAUCACGCACAGAGAGGGAGAGGUCAGGGCACGAGCAAGAGAGCAGAAAAAUAGAAUAGUAAACGGUAUCGCUUCCAGCAUACAAAACCCGUGGCGCAUUUGGCUAGGAGCGUCCCCUUGGCUUUUUGCCGCCAUCGUCUCACGCACGCAUCGAAUACCGCGCACAUCGCCGCUAGCUUCCUUUUGGUGUGUGUGUGUGUGUUCUCUUCCCUCUGACGGUGCGCAAGCGCAGACUUUUUUUUCUUCGCAUUCCCUUUGCUCGGCUGGCUAUCCUGCGAGCCCACGUCUUUAUUUGUUCCACCGCUUCACGCGGGUGGGGUGGGGGUGGGGGUGGCCUUCGUCGUCUUGUUUUUCUUUUGUUCGUUGUUGCUGUUGCCGGUCGCGCUUGCUCUACUUGGUUCUCUCCUGCCUUUGGAAGGGCAAAGGCACGCUCACUGCUCGCCCCUUCCUCUCCAGCCGUGGCUGAUUGAUGGAAAGACAUCAUAAAAGGCGGCGCCGAAGCGGACAGAGCGCCACGCGCGCGAGCUCACUGCAUGUUGCACACAAGGAAGCACUCGCUCACUCGGUCCUCGUGAGGUAGGGCAUUGCUUCGGGAGAUCGGUACGCCAGCGAAGGCGUCUCCAUCGACGGUGGCCUCGAGAUCUCGACGCUCCCGCUCACAGGCACCCGCCAUGGCGGCCUUCGGAGACGCCCCCUUUUUCGAUGCACCAGCCGCGAGCAACGUGGCGCUUGGGCAGACCACAAAUCAGUCCUUCUUGUCGUGUGUAGAGAACGACCUGGAUCUGCCCCAGGACCGUCCAGCCACAGGUUCGCCGUCUGAGGGGAGCCUUGACAGACGGAGGAAGGCCUAUCGUCGCAGCUUUCUCCCCACGCUUGGCGACGCGGCGCCAUCGUCUGGCGUGCGCAGCCUCGGGACCGCCAACUGCGUCGUAAUGGCCGACGUGGAGAUGCCUAGCCCAAACAGCGGGCCCCGAAGCAGUCGCGCGACAGUCCUGCAACCAUCGCUCCCGCCACGUCUCGUUCAGGUGGGGCAUGCCAACCCGUCUGCAGAAUCCAUGAUGGAGUUGUCUGUCAGGAGUCGCCCGUUUUACGGCACGGAGACGCCGCCGGCGCAGACCGACGCGGACGAGGAGUACGGCUCGCAGGAACCGCUGGCAGACAGCUCGGGUGCCACCCACCAUUAUGGUGGAAUAGAGCUCUCCAUGGAUGGUGUGACGCUGCGCAGACGAAAGCCUUGGUGGCUGCGGCACCGCAUGGUGACACAGCUCGACAGCUGCAGUCUACGCAUCCCCCCAGGCUCGGUGCACUGCAUCACGUCCCUCAGUUCCACGUACAGCCGCUGCGCACUGGCGGUGUUGGCAGGUGUUCGCGCUGUCGCACACGCCGAAGGGGCGGCGCUGGCGAACGCGUACCCCACUACAGUGCUCCGCUACCGCCGUCAAGUUGGGUAUGUGACCUCGCUAGACGGCAUUCUCCUGGAGGCUACUGUGUUUGAGAAUCUGCUCUUCGCCACCCAACUCCGGUUCCACGUGGACGCACAGACGGAGCGGGAGCUGAUUCGCAAAGCAGCGGCGGAUGCGCUGCUGACGGACUACUUGGACAUCCGCGCCUCUCUGCUAAACCCGGCUCGCCGGUAUCUGCUGGCGCUCGCCAUGGAGCUUGUGGCGGAGCCUAUCGUUCUGCUCCUUGAAGACCCUCUCUCGUUCUUCUCGCUAGCCCAUCUGCAGCUGUUUGUUCGCAUGCUGCAUCGUCUGCGCCACCGUAACCCAAGCGGCACCGUUGUGUGGAGCGGCUCGGCGAUUCCGUGGACCCUCUUCGACGACAUCGACAGCCUCACGCUGCUAAGCACGGAGGGCAGGACAUUCUACACCGGUCACAAGAAGGAUGUGGAGGCCUUCUUGCAGGAGGACCUCGGCAUCCUGCGCGUACCCGGCGAAGACGUUGUGGACAUCAUGGCCCAGACGGAGGUGGACACGCUUGCCGUGACGCGCGCGUCCUUCUUGUUCCGGAACAGCCGGUAUCACCGCCAGCUGCAGCAGGGCCUGCAGGCGCACCGUGCCCGCAUCGCGACGAACGCCUUUGCCACGCUCCCCGACACUACCCGUGCCCCGCCCCGCUACCUGCGCGUACAGUGGCUUCUGCUGGCGUACGCGCUGCGUGGCAACGUGCUGGGUAGGGUGGCGCUCGUGCUGUGGGCGGGACUCUUUGUUGUCAUUCUUCUUGUGUGCGCUAUCGUGGCGCUUACAGACGGCGAGGGGCAGGGCAAUAUGCAAAACGUGCGUGGCACACUCUUCUUGUUGCUCUCGUGCUCUGUCCAGAUCAACUCCAUUUUUCUGAAGGCAGAGCUGCGAAACUGGCGUAUGUUUCAGCUGCUCAAGAAGAAUCUGUACAUCUCCGUCACCCCCUACUUCGUGGCCACAAUUGUGCGUGUCGCUGCACCGCGUCUGUGCUUCGCGCUCGCUGGCUGGAUCUGCGCAGCUGUUAUUUUCCAGAAGGCCGCCGUCGUGUCCCUCAGUAUUACGAUGGCGCUCACCAGCUUCACACAUGCCUGUCUCGGACUCGUGGCGGUGUAUUGGUUUCCGCGCUUCGACUACCUGCUGCUGCUCAAUCAAAUCUACUAUGGCUACUGCGUCAUCAUCAGCGGCUUUCUUGUAAGCCUCACCUCCAUCCCGCGGUUCUUGCAGUUUCUCUCCAUUCUUCGCAUCGGCUACGGCGGCUUGCUGGCGGCAGAGCUGCGCGGCCGCACCUUCGGCUGCGACUCCGCGUCGUCGGGAUCCGAGAUGGAGUCUGGUAGCCGCAUCAGCAGUCGCGCCAGUGCCUUUCUUGCACCGUCCGCAUCGUGCUACACCGGCCAGCAGUACUUGGAUUUUAUUGGGCUCUCGGACGACAGCUGGGGCAUGUCGGUGCUGAUUCUGUUGGCUCUGUCUGUCGGUAUCACGAUCACGCUGGGGGUUAGCAUGCACAUCACCUCCGGCGCAACGCUUCUCUCCUCCACAUGAGCGCGGAGUGUCGGAAACGUGAAACCCGUCGACAUGCAAGAUGAAAAGCUACAAGACCGCCUGUGUGUUGGUGUGUAUCGAAAUGAACCGACGUGUUCAUCUCUUGGUCCUCCUCGUCUUGCCAGAGCUGCUGCGGAUUUUGGUGUUUCUUGCUUCGGUGAAGGAGUGAAGUCCGGAUGAGUCUGUUACGCAAAAGUGCCACCCACCCACCCCCUCUGCUCCAACCUGUGCGUGUGCGCCGUGGCGUCGCUGCGCUUUUCUUUUUCUGCGUGUUUGUUCUCUGGAUCGCUUCCCUGUCUUUCGCUACCGUCCUUCGCUACGUCAACGCUAGCAUCGGCCUGCCUCGUUCAACUGGACUUUGGUAUUGCCGGUGUGUGCCGUCUACGGACACUGCUGCAUCCACGCUGACGCCUUGGUGUCGCUCCU